rnacentral:misc_RNA from 1 species
AAAAAACUCACUCUAAAACCAAAUUCCCGUCGGCCUUCCCCGCUGGCGGGGCCGUUUUCACAUAGCGUGUCGUUUCAGGUCAAAAAAAGUUCUAAAUUCCCUCUUCAGAACUUGCUUCAAUCAUCUUCCAUUCCAUUACAUCACCAAUUUCUCUGGGUUGAUUUCCGCUUCUUUGUCUAGUGAUGUCGUACGAUUAUCUAUUCAAGUACAUCAUCAUCGGGGAUACAGGUGUGGGCAAAUCUUGCUUGCUAUUGCAGUUCACGGACAA